CUGAGUUACUGCAGCUAUUGAAAUGCUUGACAGAAGGAUCCCAGAGCAGUUUGCGCUAAUUGCUGUGUAAAAAUACUCCAUUAUGUGCUCAGACAAUCAAAAUCGACCCGGCAAGUGAGUUCCCCGGUCCGCUGCAAUCACGGAGCAGAGCAGAACAUCGCAGUAUAAACAGCGCUCGCAGAGGGGCGCGGGAGGAGGGGAGCUCGGCAGGUCCUGCCCAAAGAGCUGCCUUUUUUUUGUUGUUGUUAUUUUGCUUGGUUUCUAAUUUCCACAGGAAAUUUAAUUUCGGGAAUAUGUGGCACCAACUUCCAAGCCGGAGGAGGGCUCCGGGGAAAGCGUUGCAGACAGAAGCAGCAAGGGCUGUACUUACAGGCUGGCUGAGGGGGAUCAUAUCCAUGCCUUAUUUCUUUGAGAUCUUAUAACAGCUGCCAACAUCCAAAGCAUCACUAAUUCCAGCAUGUCACCUGGCUCCUGGCAAAACUGAGGGUCUGCACACUGAGUUACUUGGACCACAGAGCUUUGAUGCUUCCACGGUCUCAUAGUUUAACAUAGGAAAGAGUUAAAGUGAUACAAAACCUUUUUCUAUAACUAACAAUCUACUGAACCACUAAAAAACUAAACAUGCCUCUGUGAAAGACACAUGUUAAUGAUGAAAAAACCCCAAGAAACCAGAUUUAUUAAUAUCAAAAUUAAUAAAAUCUCAACCAACCAAAACCAC